CGUAGGGUGCGGGCGUUAAUCGGAAUUACUGGGCGUAAAGCGUGCGCAGGCGGUUUGUUAAGAUAGGCGUGAAAUCCCCGGGCUCAACCUGGGAACUGCGCUUAUGACUGGCAAGCUAGAGUACGGCAGAGGGGGUGGAAUUCCACGUGUAGCAGUGAAAUGCGUAGAGAUGUGGAGGAACACCAAUGGCGAAGGCAGCCCCCUGGGUCGAUACUGACGCUCAUGCACGAAAGCGUGGGUAGCAAACAGGAUUAGAUACCCUGGUAGUCCACGCCCUAAACGAUGUCAACUAGGUGUUGGGAGGGUAAAACCUUUUAGUACCGGAGCUAACGCGUGAAGUUGACCGCCUGGGGAGUACGGCCGCAAGGUUA
rnacentral:rRNA from 1 species